GUUGUCUCUGAGUAAAGGUUCAACUAGAAAUGGCACAGCAGAGUUGUCUCAGUCACAACAACUUGCUUCUUCAGGAACAGACAAGACCUACGGGAGCAGUGGUGUUAGUACAAGGGGAUCUGCUUGUGGUCUUACAGGCUUGUUGAACCUUGGGAAUACUUGCUUCAUGAAUAGUGCCAUACAAUGUCUUGUUCACACUCCAGAAUUUGCUCGGUACUUUCGAGAAGAUUAUUAUCAGGAGAUAAAUCGGCAGAAUCCUCUGGGGAUGGUUGGUGAACUGGCUUUAGCAUUUGGUGAUUUGCUACGAAAAUUGUGGGCACCUGGGCGCACUCCAGUUGCCCCUCGUCCUUUUAAGGCAAAGCUUGCUCGCUUUGCCCCACAAUUUAGUGGAUACAACCAGCAUGACUCUCAGGAACUCCUUGCGUUUUUGUUGGAUGGAUUUCACGAAGACUUAAAUCGUGUUAAACACAAGCCUUACAUAAAAUCAAAAGAUGCAGAUGGCCG
rnacentral:misc_RNA from 1 species